AACGCACAUUGCGCCCGCCAGCAUUCUGGCGGGCAUGCCUGUCCGAGCGUCAUUUCAACCCUCAGGGUCCCCCGGGAACCUGGUGUUGGGGAUCGGCCCCGCCCGCACGGGCGUCGCCGUCCCCCAAAUGCAGUGGCGGUCCCGCCGCAGCCUCCCCUGCGUAGUAGCUAACACCUCGCACCGGAGCGCGGCGCGGCCACGCCGUAAAACCCCCGACCUCAUGAACGUUGACCUCGGAUCAGGUAGGAAUACCCGCUGAACUUAA
rnacentral:misc_RNA from 1 species